rnacentral:rRNA from 1 species
AAAUUGAAGAGUUUGAUCAUGGCUCAGAUUGAACGCUGGCGGCAGGCCUAACACAUGCAAGUCGAGCGGUAGCACAGAGAGCUUGCUCUCGGGUGACGAGCGGCGGACGGGUGAGUAAUGUCUGGGAAACUGCCUGAUGGAGGGGGAUAACUACUGGAAACGGUAGCUAAUACCGCAUAACGUCGCAAGACCAAAGUGGGGGACCUUCGGGCCUCAUGCCAUCAGAUGUGCCCAGAUGGGAUUAGCUAGU